rnacentral:misc_RNA from 1 species
ACCCUGAUCCCAAGCACCAUGGAGCCGACGAUUUGGAUCAAGACCUACAUCCCAAGCACCAAGGUGCCUGGUUGAUAUGGAUCGCGAUCCCGAUCCGGAGCUCCAGGGCGCCGAGGAUUUCGAUCACGAUCCCGAUCUGAAGCACCGAGUAGCCGAGGAUAUGGAUCAAGACCCCGGUCCGAAGCGACAAGGAGGCAAGGAUUUGGAUCACCACUCCGAUCAAAGGCACCAAGGCGUCGAGGGAUUGGAUCGAGAUCCCGAUCCCAAUCAUGAUGUUGGCUAUGUAAUUUCCCGUUUUCCACACCGUUCAGGGCAUUUUGGUGGUCGUAUCGGCUUUUAGUUGCUUGCUUGGUGAUAGUGCCAAGGGAGUGGUUGGAAGCUAGGUCGUCCUCUGGAAUGCUUGUUGUAAAGGUGUAUGAGUUGUGUUUGGCUUGUUACGGGUGUUUGUUGGCUGCUUGUGCAGGAACUUUCAUGCGUCCAAGCCUCUUCAGUUGUGCUACAAGGCCUUGUUUGUCUUGUGCAUACGGUGGGUUUCCUGUGUUGCAUACCUAAUCAAGGGCAUCGUAUGGCUUGAUCGAAGUAAAUAUUCGUAAUGCGCCGCUUGCGGCGUUGCACGAACCUCGAAGUGGUCUCUGUGGCCCAUGUUGUCUUUGCUCACGUAUGGAUGGCAUGGCCCUCGGAGUGUCGCUUGGUCUCUUGGAUACGGAACCUGAUGAUGUGGGCGGUAGGGUCUUGGAUGAUUCUACCUUCGC